rnacentral:tRNA from 1 species
GGCGACGUGGCCGAGUGGCUUAGGCAACGGCCUGCAAAGCCGUGUACAUGGGUUCGAUUCCCAUCGUCGCCUCCC